CCGUUCCAGCCCUCGUUGCUAACCCCUGACUCCUCUGCAUUUCCACUUUCACUCCGGUACCUCCUCAGACUAACUGUGCUUCUUGCAAACAUGUAAGCAUGCAGCUGACACCCGCUGAGAGCAUUUCUGCUGAAGUCACCAAACACGCGAGUCUCCGGGCAAACCGAGUCUCCCCCCUGCCGGGUCUCCUCACCUGACCAGCAGCCUCGGCGCACGUGAAAAAGACUGAAGCAUAACAGGUGAGGGAGGUGCCAGUCCACCAUGUCGAAUAAAGAGGCACGAUGUCACCCUGUCACCGCUGGCAGGCUGCAGCAUAAAGGCGGCGUGAAGUCCGGGAUACGAAGGGCUCCUCGAUCUGCACAAAGCAGUCUCCCGUGCGGAGUGAAUACUUCAUAAUAAUUAAUUG